ensembl:snRNA U6 U6 spliceosomal RNA
GUGCUUGUUUCAGUAGCACACAUACUAAAAUUGGAACCAUACAGAGAAAAUAAGCAUGGCCUCUGUGCAAGGAUGACAAGUGAGAAGGGGGAAAAAUGACACCUAUAU